rfam:Anoxybacillus sp. B7M1, complete genome.
GUUUCAAUUCCUUAUAGUUAAGAUACAAAC